UGGACAGAUUAUUGUAUUCGACUGUGUUCACGGUGUGAAAUAGGGGAUUACAUUAUUUUUAAAACGGAAAGUGAAACAAUUAACAUAAUAGACUCCU
rnacentral:pre_miRNA from 1 species